rnacentral:snRNA from 1 species
AUACCUUUCUCGGCCUUUUGGCUAAGAUCUGUUCUUAUCAGUUUAAUAUCUGAUAUGUGUGCCAUCGGCUCACACCAUAUUAACUCAUUUUUUUAAGGGGGAAGGUUUGUCGAGGUAGCUUUCUAUCUGGGCCUUUGUACGAGUUGCCUAGGCCUUACACUAGAGUCCAGGCCUGGCGCACCCCAC